rnacentral:hammerhead_ribozyme from 1 species
AUCCACCUGACGAGUCCCAAACAGGACAAAACGCUCAUCCUAGAU